rnacentral:rRNA from 1 species
GCCAGACUCCUACGGGAGGCAGCAGUGGGGAAUAUUGCACAAUGGGGGAAACCCUGAUGCAGCGACGCCGCGUGAGCGAAGAAGUACCUCGGUAUGUAAAGCUCUAUCAGCAGGGAAGAAGAUGACGGUACCUGACCAAGAAGCUCCGGCUAAAUACGUGCCAGCAGCCGCGGUAAUACGUAUGGAGCAAGCGUUAUCCGGAUUUACUGGGUGUAAAGGGAGCGCAGGCGGCCUUGCAAGUCUGAUGUGAAAGGCUGGGGCUCAACCCCAGGACUGCAUUUGGAACUGUCAUGCUAGAGUGUCGGAGAGGCAGGCGGAAUUCCUAGUGUAGCGGUGAAAUGCGUAGAUAUUAGGAGGAACACCAGUGGCGAAGGCGGCCUGCUGGACGAUGACUGACGUUGAGGCUCGAACGCGUGGGGAGCAGACAGGAUUAGAUACCCUCGUAC